AGACUCUUCCUACGGCGACUGACACCUCAGACACGCGUUGUGGGGGGCGGCGCUCUGGCUCCGGGGCUGUGCCCAGCGCGAGCGUGGCCGGCACCCACUUGCUGCAGAGCCGGCACUGCACUGGGGUUCUUGGGGGCGGCUCCUCCAGACGUCUCUGCGGGUUGUCGGGUGCUGCCGAGUUGGGUUGGGGGACGCUACAGGUAGUGGGUCCGGAGCAGCGGCUGGCCCCUCAUCUCACUGCCCUUCCUCGGACCCCACCGUCCUCUGGAAGCUUGUGCAGGGCACCUGCCACUGUGACCACCUGGACGCAGAUACCUGCUUUCCCACAACAGCAAGGAAGAACCAUGGCCCAGUUUCUACGAGACUUUUCUGUGCCUCCUUUGCCCAUGCCAGGCCUCUUGCUAGGAAUAUCCUUCAGACAUCAGAUCAUUCUGUUUAUCUUUCGUGAUUCUACUCCCCUGUGAUCUCCUAGGAAGCUUCACUUGACAGGGUCACUGUCAUUCGGGGACGUGGCUGUGGGCUUCACCCGGAAAGAGUGGCAGCAGCUGGACCUGGAGCAGAGGACCCUGUACCAGGAUGUGA
rnacentral:lncRNA from 1 species